GGGGACGGUGGGAGCAGAUCCAUUUCCGGGUUGGCAAAAGGGGCGGCGGCGGCGGCGGCGACGGCGAGAAAGAGAGCUUGCCGGGGGGCUAGCAGGACAGGAGGAAGCCGGAGUGUAGGCGGCAGAGGAUUCGCUCCCAGAGCAGCUGCGGCCAGGCAAACACAGAGCAGCCCAAGCUGAAUAGAGAUGAGCAGCGGGGUCGAGGUGCCCUCUUACAGGACAUUUGCAAAGGGACCAAGCUGAAGAAGGUGACCAACAUUAAUGAUCGGAGUGCUCCCAUCCUCGAGAAGCCCAAAGGAAGCAGUGGUGGCUAUGGCUCUGGAGGAGCUGCCCUGCAGCCCAAGGGAGGUCUCUUCCAAGGAGGAGUGCCGAAGCUUCGACCUGUGGGAGCCAAGGAUGGUUCAGAGAACCUAGCUGGUAAGCCAGCCCUGCAAGUCCCCAGUUCUCGAGCUGCUGCCCCAAGGCCUCCAGUAUCUGCCGCCAGCGGGCGUCCUCAGGAUGAUACAGACAGCAGCCGGGCCUCACUCCCAGAACUGCCCCGGAUGCAGAGACCCUCUUUACCGGACCUUUCUCGGCCUAAUACCACCAGCAGUACGGGCAUGAAGCACAGCUCCUCUGCCCCUCCCCCGCCACCCCCAGGGCGGCGUGCCAAUGCACCCCCCACACCUCUGCCUAUACACAGCAACAAAGCCCCUGCCUACAACAGAGAGAAACCCUUGCCACCGACGCCUGGACAAAGGCUUCUCCCUGGUCGAGAGGGACCUCCUGCUCCACCCCCAGUUAAACCACCUCCUUCCCCUGUGAAUAUCAGAACAGGACCAAGUGGCCAGUCUCUGGCUCCUCCUCCUCCGCCUUACCGCCAGCCUCCUGGAGUCCCCAAUGGACCCUCUAGCCCCACUAAUGAGUCAGCCCCUGAGCUGCCACAGAGACACAAUUCUUUGCAUAGGAAGACACCAGGGCCUGUCAGAGGCCUAGCACCUCCUCCACCCACGUCAGCCUCCCCCUCUUUACUGAGUAAUAGGCCACCUCCCCCAGCCCGAGACCCUCCCAGUCGGGGAGCAGCUCCUCCACCCCCACCACCUGUGAUCCGAAAUGGUGCCAGGGAUGCUCCCCCUCCCCCACCACCGUACCGAAUGCAUGGGUCAGAACCCCCGAGCCGAGGAAAGCCCCCACCUCCCCCCUCAAGGACGCCAGCUGGGCCACCCCCUCCUCCGCCGCCGCCCCUGAGGAAUGGCCACAGAGAUUCUAUCACCACUGUCCGGUCUUUCUUGGAUGAUUUUGAGUCCAAGUAUUCCUUCCAUCCAGUAGAAGACUUUCCUGCUCCAGAAGAAUAUAAACACUUUCAGAGGAUAUAUCCCAGCAAAACAAACCGAGCUGCCCGUGGAGCCCCACCUCUGCCACCCAUUCUCAGGUGAAGCCUGGCUUGGUCCUGUUCCUCAGGAAAAGGAUGGUCCUUCUCUUCUUCUCAGAUGGUCCCUUCCAUUCCCCUGAAACCUGCAUGAGAGCUCCUAACAUGUUUCUCCAAUGCAAUCAACCCUUAGACUCCAAGUGUCCUCCCAGCUCACCUCCAUCUAUGCAUCUCAUCUCUGGAUUUGGUGAUCAGACUCUAUAUUGACAGUAGGAUCUCAAACCCUGCAUCCAUCCUUCCUCCAGCAAGCCCUGCUAGCCACAUGAGGAACAAGUUUCCGUGUCUUCUGCUUUCCUCUUGGGGAAAGGUGCCUUGUUGUGAUGAAUUAACUCACUGUUAGGGCAGGGUGGAGAAUGGUACUCCUUCCUUCUCCUGUCCACUGUGGGGGAAGCUUGGCAGGUAUAUUUCAUCAUUUAGGAGGCUGGCAUGACCAGGACUUAUGGGUGGGAGGGGAGCAUUUUUAGUGAAGCAAGAAAGGAGUUUGCCAAGAAGUGAUCUGUUUUAAAGGUCAUAUUUGGAGAAAGGGCAAGGAAUUGGGUCUGCUUUAUUUUUAGGGGUAUUUUGUUUUUGUUCUCACCCAGGGAUAAAUUGGAUAUAAACACUAAAUACUAAUCAGUUGAACUUAACAUUUAAUAAAAAGAAAGGGUGAAAUAAACUGAA
rnacentral:sRNA from 1 species